GGCUGACGGGCCCCGGCGCCUACAUCUCCCAGCGUGCAACGGGGCCAGCCCGGGGCGGAGCGCGGCCGAGCCCGCCGCGGGGCACACUGGGAGUUGGAGUCGGGCGUUGGCGGUUGCGCAGCAUCCGUUGGGGGCGCGCGGCGGGGCUGGUCUUUCGCAGGAGCACGGCAGCCAUUGCCGCCGCGGCCGGGAGCAGCAGUUUCCUCGCGGCCCACAGGACUCAGCGCUCGGCGACGCAUCAACCUUAAGAUGAGUGGGUGCCGGGUCUUUGUUGGACACUUAAGCUCACGUGCUCGGGAACGGGACGUGGAGAAAUUCUUCAAAGGAUAUGGACGCAUACGAGAAAUCCAUCUAAAAAAUGGAUUUGGAUUUGUGGAAUUUGAAGACCACAGGGACGCUGAUGAUGCAAUUUAUGAACUAAAUGGUAAAGAGUUGUGUGAUGAAAGGGUUACGAUAGAGCAUGCUCGAGCCCGAAGAGGAAGGGGCAGAUUCUCACAACGGUUCAGUUAUUACCCCUCACAGAGUGGAUCUAGGUAUGGACCUCCUAUUCGUACUGAACACAGGAUCAUAGUUGAAAACCUUUCAUCCCGUAUCAGCUGGCAGAUCUUGGUUUGCCUGGGUUUGAUCUCGAUUGGCUAGCACAGGUCAUCCUCGGGUUCUUUAGCCACUUCUGGAGACUGGCGACUAUGUCCAGUGCUUUCAGGGCCCCUGGUACCUCCGUGAAGCGUAUUGCUAUGAGCCAUCACUCUGCCUUUCUCAUGUAAGAGAGUUCCUCUUGGCCAGCUAGGUAUUGGACAAGCAACUCUUUGCUUAAGGUACCUUCUUGUAUCAUCUGCCACUCGUGGCAUGUUGCGGACUUGAAAGAUGUCAUGAGAAAGGCAGGGGAGGUCACCUAUGUGGAUGCACACAGAAACAACAGGAAUGAAGGGGUUGUGGAAUUUGCAUCCUAUAGUGAUAUGAAGAGUGCACUGGAAAAACUGGAUGGCACUGAGCUGAAUGGACGCAGAAUUAGAUUGACUGAAGAUCACAGAAGGCAUAGAAGCAGAUCUCGAUCAAGGAGUUACUCAAGAUCUCGCAGCAGGUCCAGGUCUACAGGAUCUUCCAGAUCGGACAGCCGGUCCAGGUCCAGGUCAAGAUCAAGGUCUAGGUCCCGAUCUCGGUCCCGAUCCCGGUCCCGAUCCAGAUCCCGGUCUCGUUCUCGCAGUCGUACACCUAAGAAGAGCUAUUCCCAGAAAAGCCACCGCUCCAGCUUGCUAGCUUCUUCCCCAUCUCCCUCUUCUUCUAAAAGAAAAUCUCGUUCUAGGUCGAGCUCUGCUCGUAGCCGCAGUUAACCUGCUAUUAGAGAUGUAUUAAUGCAUUUAAUUUGAUUCAAGUUUCUUGAAGACUUGAGACAAAUUAUACAUGAGAACUGGGAGGGGAAGAGUUAAGAUGAUGAGAGGAUAACCUCCUUUUACAUUGCCAAAGUGCCUGUCAUCAAAUAGGCCAUCUCUGUGAGGAGAGGCUGUUAGCUUUCUCCUCUUCAGUGAAGUCUGGAGUGGGAAGUCUUUUUAUUUUUUCCCUGCUAUUAGUAAACAUUUAUAUCAUAGAUAUAUUAUGUACACAUAAUGCUGAGGUAAUGGGAUGAGACAAUACGCUGCUUUCUCCCUCUCUUGCCCCAAACUUUCCCCUCCACCUGCAAGGCCUUUGACUUCCAAAAUACUACGUUAGCUUUUGUCCUUGGUAUUAAAUCUGAGAAGAGGAAGUAUAGAUUUUAUUCCGUUACGACUGUGUGGCUACUUUUCUGUGUAAGAAUGAGUGGACCAGCUGAAUUUAGUUUAGAGUUCACUUUUUUUCCCUGUUGCUUGGCUUUACAGGCUGUUUAAGUUCCAGCUUUAAAUUACAUUGAUAAUAUGCUUAAUUUGCAACAGACUUUCAGGAAUACCCAUCAAUCAGUUGAAUAUUGCUCACUUGGUUAGUGAAUCAAUACAAUGUUAACCAGUAAUGAAAGCUGGUAUUUCCUGUUAAGAUGAAACAUACCAUCCAGUUGUCAGUAUUGGGAAUCCAUUCUACUAAUUUUCCAGUAAUUCACUAGUAUGUGGUGUUGUAUGUAGGGGCCUUAUUUGACAGGUGACUCCAUAAAACUGCACAGAAAAUGUCAAUAUGCAUGUCCAUGUUUUUGAUGUUUAUAAAAGUGACAUAGCUCUCAUACCCAAACGUAUGAUACUGAAUAACAUGUGUAUGACUAGCAAUAGACUUGAUGGAAAGGAAGGUUAUUUUAGUAAAUGACAACAGCAAAAAAUCUGAGGAAAAGUGUAGUCAGUUGUGACAGAAAAAGUUAAUCAUGUUAAAGCGUAAAGAGGAUAAUUUCUUUAAAUUUCCUGGAUGCACAGUUGUUUUGAUUAAUAGAAAUUUCCACUGCAAAUACUGUUUGUUCUUGUAAUUUGAAAUUAGAUUUUUUUUAACUUCUGUAUCGUUAAAGAAGGGAAACAUUUUUGGAAAAAUAUGUAAAUUAAUCCCAAAGUCUUAUGUGUGUUUAAAUGUACCAUUCCUAAUAAAAUAAAAACUUUUUCUGGCUUA